rnacentral:rRNA from 1 species
GACAGAGGGGGCAAGCGUUGCCCGGAAUUACUGGGCGUAAAGGGCGCGCAGGCGGGAUGGCAAGUCGGUCGUGAAAUCCCUCGGCUCAACCGAGGAACGUCGAUCGAUACUGCUGUUCUUGAGGAUUGCAGAGGAGACUGGAAUUCCCGGUGUAGCGGUGAAAUGUGUAGAGAUCGGGAGGAACACCGGUGGCGAAGGCGGGUCUCUGGGCAAUUCCUGACGCUGAGGCGCGAAAGCGUGGGGAGCAAACGGG